UAAAUAAAUGUAGUUAAUUUUGUCCAC
rnacentral:piRNA from 1 species